rnacentral:tRNA from 1 species
GUCAGGAUAGCUCAGUUGGUAGAGCAGAGGACAAAUUGUCCUUGACUCACCAGUUCAAUUCUGGUUCCUGACA